AGUGAACGCUGGCGGUAGACCCAACACAUGCAAGUCGAACGGCAGCACAGUAAGAGCUUGCUCUUACGGGUGGCGAGUGGCGGACGGGUGAGGAAUACAUCGGAAUCUACUUUUUCGUGGGGGAUAACGUAGGGAAACUUACGCUAAUACCGCAUACGACCUACGGGUGAAAGCAGGGGAUCUUCGGACCUUGCGCGAUUGAAUGAGCCGAUGUCGGAUUAGCUAGUUGGCGGGGUAAAGGCCCACCAAGGCGACGAUCCGUAGCUGGUCUGAGAGGAUGAUCAGCCACACUGGAACUGAGACACGGUCCAGACUCCUACGGGAGGCAGCAGUGGGGAAUAUUGGACAAUGGGCGCAAGCCUGAUCCAGCCAUACCGCGUGGGUGAAGAAGGCCUUCGGGUUGUAAAGCCCUUUUGUUGGGAAAGAAAAGCAGCAGGUUAAUACCCCGCUGUUCUGACGGUACCCAAAGAAUAAGCACCGGCUAACUUCGUG
rnacentral:rRNA from 1 species